rnacentral:rRNA from 1 species
AACGAACGCUGGCGGCAUGCCUAACACAUGCAAGUCGAACGGGAUCCUAGCUUGCUAGGUGAGAGUGGCGGACGGGUGAGUAACACGUGGGAAUCUGCCUUUUGGUUCGGGAUAACCGCGGGAAACUGCGGCUAAUACCGAAUGCCCUCGAGAGAGGAAAGACUUUAAUCGCCAGAAGAGGAGCCCGCGUCCGAUUAGGUAGUUGGUGGGGUAAAAGCCUACCAAGCCGACGAUCGGUAGCUGGUACUGAGAGGAUGAUCAGCCACACUGGGACUGAGAUACGGCCCAGACUCCUACGGGAGGCAGCAGUGGGAAUAUUGGACAAUGGGGGCAACCCUGAUCCAGCAAUGCCGCGUGAGUGAUGAAGGCCUUAGGGUUGUAAAG